GAUGAACGCUGGCGGCGUGCCUAAUACAUGCAAGUCGAGCGAAUAGACGAGGAUCUUGCUCCUCUUACGUUGGCGGCGGACGGGUGAGUAAUACGAAGAUACCCUAUAUAUAAGGCUGGGGUAACUUCGGGGAACCGAAUCUAAUACCGGUCAAUAUAUUGAAACGCAUGGUUCAUUAGUGAAAGAGCGUUUAGAUGACACUUAUUGAUGACACCUCGGCGCAUUAGCUAGUUGGUAAGGUAACGGCUUACCAAGGCGACGAUGCGUAGCCGAUCUGAGAGGUUGAUCGGCCACACUGGAACUGAGACACGGUCCAGACUCCUACGGGAGGCAGCAGUAGGGAAUCUUGCGCAAUGGGCGAAAGCCUGACGGAGCAACGCCGCGUGAGUGAAGAAGGUCUUCGGAUCGUAAAACUCUGUUAUUAGGGAAGAAGAAAAGUAUAAGAAUAUAUGCACGUCUUGACGGUACCUAAUCAGAAAGCCACGGCUAACUACGUG
rnacentral:rRNA from 1 species